rnacentral:rRNA from 1 species
CAGUAGUCACGUAGUUUGAUCAUGGCUCGAAGAACGAACGCUGGCGGCAUGCCUAACACAUGCAAGUCGAACGAGACCUUCGGGUCUAGUGGCGCACGGGUGCGUAACGCGUGGGAACCUGCCUUUAGGUUCGGAAUAACUCAGAGAAAUUUGAGCUAAUACCGGAUAAUGUCUUCGGACCAAAGAUUUAUCGCCUUUAGAUGGGCCCGCGUUGGAUUAGCUAGUUGGUGGGGUAAAGGCCUACCAAGGCGACGAUCCUUAGCUGGUCUGAGAGGAUGAUCAGCCACACUGGGACUGAGACACGGCCCAGACUCCUACGGGAGGCAGCAGUGGGGAAUAUUGGACAAUGGGCGAAAGCCUGAUCCAGCAAUGCCGCGUGAGUGAUGAAGGCCUUAGGGUUGUAAAGCUCUUUUACCCGGGAUGAUAAUGACAGUACCGGGAGAAUAAGCUCCGGCUAACUCCGUG